UUCCCCCCCCCCCCCCCCCCCCCGACCACUGUGGCUGAAAAGUGUGAGACAACUGCUGGAAGUAUCACUAUUCCCUGGAAAAUCACAGCCUCAGUGAAGGUGCUGAAGGCCUGGAUGUCUGGUUGCUGUAUCGGGCAUGGCCAUAAGAGGGAAGUGUGUGCUCAAGCAUUAGGUGCCUUCCUCCAGGCUGGAGCGGCACUGGCUGGGCAGGUUGUGGGCUCUGCAGGCAGCACUCACUCUGCCCCAGACCCACCUCCUGUGUAGGGUUAAAAGAAGGCCUGUGCCUUUGGAGUAACUGAGCUCAGUCAUAGUCAGAGAUGCAGGGAGCAAUGAUGAGAGUGAAGAGAAAUGGAGGAGCAGGGGUUGGAGCAGAUCCCAUGACUUCUCAAAUGUAGGGGAGGGUGAGACAUGCAACCCUGACCAGUACUAGGAGAAAUGGGGUCAUCUUGACCAGAGGUGCUAGGCAGCCAGGUGGAGAGAUCUCAUGCCAGUCAUAUACUUUCUCAAGGAUGUUACAUCGCUGGUCACAUUAGGUGGAUCACACUCAGAUCAGGGAAGUCAGGCUUGAGGAUAUUGAAUCUGGGUCAUUUUUAGGAGUAUGGGGAAGAGUUGAAGAGAAGGAGAGUUGAGGUGAGCAGGGGGAGCUUGAGAAGGGUCUACAAGGAGGAGAAUGGGCCCAAGAGGAUGUGGGCUGGCAUCCCUACUGGCUCUCUAAAGAAGACUUUUUUGCCUGAGGCAGUUCUCAGAGUAUUUUGUAGGCCACAUAUAUAGAGCACACAAGCUAUGUAGCAGAACCAAGCAGUGCUUAGUUGCUAGCAGCCCUUCAGGGUCCAGGGGUGGCUGUCACCCUGAUGAGAUGGGCUGACAGUUUGCUUUCCCUAACUGCUUGUUAAAACUCACCAUUACAGAGGCAGAAAAGGACAGUUGUCCCAUGCGAUAUGGUAACCUUGGGCACAAGCAAGUCUGGGCCUGAUAGGCCCUGUUACCUGGAGCUGUUGUGUAUGUAUGGCUAAGGAGUCUCUGCUUGUCACCUUGCUGGGCUGGGGGCAGGCCUGUGCCCACCACAGUAACAUGGCCCAAGCUCUAACCCCACCAGCACCCUCUGGAAGAACUGAUGGGACCUGGCAUAAUAGGGGUAGCUCAGGAGACGCCCCCAGGUUAUGCUUGGUGGCGUUUGCAAGAGCUGAGUUUGAUCUGUGAGUGGGUAGGGACUCAGCUCAUGGUUCAUCUGCAGUGCUCUUGCUGUGCUAUGAAACUGGUCACUGCUGUCUGUGCCUCUGUUUCUCUGCUAUCAGCAGGGAGCUGAGCCCCCCUCCAGGGAUCCAUAGGGUGCUUUGAGGAGAAAUGGCAUCAAAACUGAUUUCCUACAGUUACCUGCCAAAAGAUGUGAGCAGCAGGCCUAGCCAGGAGGGCCAAAAGACCUGCCCACCAGCUCCUCAUGGGUUCACAAUGCAGAGAAGGGCAGUCAUCUCCCUCUAUAUCUGUUUCUCAGGGACUGUUUUUUUCCCCCCAAAGGCAAAAGCAGAGCAAAGCGAAGGAGACAGAGCUGAACUUAUUCCUUGUUCAUGCUACAGUAUCUGAACAAAAUGCAUCUAAGAAUAAAUUGCACAAAAACUGUAGACAGGUUUUGUGGCAAGGCUGUGGGAGACAGGCAGUGUGUGGUUCUUGGAAGCUGGCUGAACAUGCACUGAUUCUGUGCUUCUACAGCAUCUUAUGUCUGUGAAGCAGAGGGACAUAGAGCUGCAGGAACAGGGACUGUAAGCGUGGCUGCUUGUUUAGAGGCAUUGGGGAUGUGGCUGGAAGAGCACUGAGGAAAUGUGUGUUGCUCAGCACAGGCAUGUUGUGCCCAUCAUAUAUGGGGAGGGGAGGUGUUGCAGAGCAGGGCAUGUAGUAUGCCUGUGCCCUGUGUGGGGGCUAGGAGCAGGGGGUUGCUGUGUGUGAGCAUAUGUGUGCAGCAUGCUGCCUGUGCUAUGCAGAGGGCAGAUGUGCUGGGAAUGGCUGCAUAUAAAAACACAAGAGGUUACUUUGCGGUUAAAUGAGGCAAAGCAUUACCAUGGCGACCAUGCUCUCCUCUCCUCUCCCUGCCAGAUGCCAGGCUCCCAGGCAAUAAUGUUUGUAUGCUCUUCUGAAAGCCUCAGACCCACUUACCCUCUUUUGAUGAUGGGUGAGGGCUGUGUUGCUCCCUUUCCGGACAGUGGGAGUGGUAAACCUCGGGAAAUGAUGUGGUUUCUGUACACUCCAUCUUUGCAGGAGAAGGGAGUUGCUCUCUGGGUGCCUGCUACACUAGUGGUUGGUACAGUGCAAAGACAAAAGGCUGAGGUUUGAACUGCUGCAAUAAACUGUGGUUCUAGGACUGUAUGUCCAUGCAGUGUCUUUAUAAGCAGCGAAGUUUGAGUCAGUUGCCAAUUGCUAGGCAUGCAUUGUGUAUGGGCAGAGAGCUGCCUGCUGGAAGACCUUGCUUCCGCACUACAAGUGAGGUAUGCAAAGGAGCAUUGCAAUGAACAACUUCAACCUUAACUUCACCAGGAGGGAAACUGCUGGGUGCUCUCCACUGACAUGUACUGCAAGACUCCAAGGAUAGGCACAAGGCAAACGUGCACUUAAGGCAUUACACCUCCUUGCUCUAGUGUAUUCACACUCUGCGUUGCUGCCCACACAGAGUAUAUUUUCUGUUCUUGCUGAGUUGCAUCAGAUCAUGUCCUGUGCUGCAGCCUCUGGCAGAGGAAGUAAAGCUGCAUCUUCCAGGGGCCAGAAGAGCCAGGGUGCAUUUUUCAGUGACCUUAUUCUUUCCAUCAGCUCUCUAGGAAUAGUACUUAGUGGUCUGUGAGGCCAUAUAAAUCAUAUCAUAUCUUCUGUGUUCUCAGUUAAAGCUUUGGGGAGAAGGCUGCUUGGAGGUCCAUUGGGAAAAAAUGGAGGAGCAAGGGCUUUUUGGCCUAAAGUGUUCGGAAGUUCUUGUUUUGGUGGGGUGGUGGUGGUGGGAGCACUGAUGCAUACUGCACAGACCCAUGUGCAAAAACUAGAAAGAACAAGCCAUUAGAUUGUCACUCUUGUCCUGUAGGUUGAAGUGCCACAGGAGACUGGAGAGGUGCUGUAGACUGGCAUGGUAGGUCAUCACAUCCCUUCUGCUGCACUGGAACAUCGCAGACAUACAAGAUACAGCUAAAGGUUGAAGGUUCAGUGCUCCUCCUCACUGAUGCGCCUAUUGCAGCAACUUUCCUUGAGUAGUCACCUCUUCCCUUUAAGGCUUUUUGUUUAAAGCACAGAAAGGCAUGCUAGACAUGGACAAACAGGUACUGUCAUCCUGCAGAGGGCUGGCAAAAGAACAAAUAGCUGCGUUUUGGUUUAGGUGAAACAAUCUCUAUGCAGCAGAAAUUUGCUAAUUUACACUGUCAUGAGGUCUUGUUGGAAACAUAUUUUUGAAAGAAAAAGAAAGGAAAUAAUGCAAAAGAGAUCUGAGUGUAUUCCAGCAGAUGGUUAAAUUUUUCAUAGUGAUAACUGAAGUCUGUGUGCUAUGAACAUCUCAUCGCAGAAAUACAUCAUGGGAGGUUUCUGCUAUCUAUUCUUGGCUGAGCACUGACCUUGGCUAUUAGAUCUUAAUUAAGCAAAUCCAUGACUAAUGUUUUUCUCUCUCCUGCUUUUCUGCUGCAGAAAACAGUAUUUGUUGAAGCAAACUGAGUGCUUGCAUGCUUACUCUCCAGAUGGGACCCACAGUCACUAGACUUUGUGUAAUCUGAAAAAACAGGAUUUCUUGUGUGAAUUCCAGGGAAAGGAGGUAUUUAAAAAUCCUUGGAGCCAGGGUUUGCUGCCUUCAGCAUGGAACAGCCUCUGCUGUUCCAGAACAAUGCAUGUUGUGGAGGUCAGAGAGAAGGGGCGAGUACGCAGUAGAGAUCAAAUAGAACAUACCACAUUUUCACUUCUUUAUGCUAGCUCACCUGGGAUCCUUUAACUUCUCCCCUAUCAUUUUGUUUCAGGAGAAGGCAAGAACUGCCAGUGGGCUAGACAACAGUAGUGAUAAGGCUGUGCAAGACCUGUCUUGCUGUGUAAGACUCCCGUGCAAGCCAGGGGAUGGCUGCAGAAUAGUUCCAGUUUCAGCCGAGCUUCAGGUGUGAUGUGAAUGGGAAUGGCUUACAUAAAUACAUGAAGACAGAUCCAAGUUCUUGUCUGCACUCUGACCUAAGAUGCAGACAGCUUCAACCUGGACUUGUAGCCAUGGCAGUGGGAUGCUCUGCAGCCAGGGAAGUGAAGACAUUAAGAAGGGAAGAUAGACUUAAACCUCAGAAGGCUGUUAAGGAACCAGAUGCACUGGCUCAUGAUCACCUGUCUCCAUGAAUGUCCUUCUUCUCUAGUCUUCAGGGGUGAGUAGGCAGACUUCUGCUGUACUCUCUAAGCUGAGAAUAUAAAGUCUACCUUCCCAUGGUUAGGAAAACAGAUAUUCUCCCUCCCCUUUCAGGUGUUGCUUAGGGAGCUUUGCUCUUUUCUACAUUUACUCAGUCAACAUUCCCUUCUGGUCCAGUCACCCUGUAAUCUCUCUCCACAACAGUAUUCACUCUCCCAGGGCUCAGCUGUAAAUACACCAGCCCUUUAACAUAGAAAGGAGAGAUUUCUAGCAUAGAAUAUAGAAAUGAGGUAUGAAAACCCACAUCUGAUUAUUUUAGUCAUUAAAUUUACUGGAGCUCACUGCAGUAUUGAAUACAGAAUUAAUUGCACACAUAUACAUCAGUAUUCACCUGCUAUGAAACAAACAUACCAGACACACUUUCCCCAUGAGGAAAAGACACCAGAUACAUAUUAAAUUGGAGUUCAAUGCUGCAGGCGAUACCUUUCUGAAACUGCCCAACAAACUGAACAGCACAUAAACAAAGCUGCCCUGCAGAUAUAUGCAGGGCUCCUCCUCCAGAGCUAGCAGAUGGCAGAGGCAGCAGAUCCAGAAGAAGCCUAGAGGGAAUAGCACAAGGGAUGCGGCAGUAUUAACGAUACAGCAAAAUAACUAACAGGUACAAAAAGAAAAGAAAAAAGAAAACAAGGCCCAAACUGAUAGAGAUCUUUAAUUUAAAAAUAGAGUUCAGUUUAUUCAUUGGGAAAGUGAGACAAAAUACCCCAGGGACAGAGUAUUCCACUCCAACAAUUAAAAUUGCAUUAAAAACCAGAUAGGAAGGCCUGAGCCUUAAACAGAAUGGGCACAAAAGCUAGCAUUUUUCUUUGUUUCUAUAUAUUUAUCUUUUGGGUGAUAGAGAUAAUCACUGAUUAAUUUCUUUUUUAGGUACUUAAUUUACAAUUUCUUUGUUUCUACUUGUAAGCCAUUCUGUUCCUUAAAGAUGCCAGCUUGGGAGUGCAGGACCAUAUUCUGCAGGCACUGAAUGGAGGCAGUUCUAAAAGAAUGGGGAUGUAAGGCUCAAUCACAUAGCAACUGCUGGGAGGACACCCAACUGGGAGUUACUAGAUAGUGUAAGUAAAUCUUGCCCCUGAUCAUUUCCCUCUAAAAUCUGAGGUACAUAAGUCCAGUCCCACAAAUAAAAUCAGUUUCUGUAGCAGCUGAGGGGGUACAAGCAGGCAGAGGGAGAGGACAGAACUACGGCAAGCUUACAGCAGGCGUUGCACAAGGGAGCUGACUGUUUCGGAUCAUUGAACCAUUUUUUGCUGCAGAGGUGAUUCUCUUGGAAGUGCUGGAAGUAGGUUUCAUGUCUAUGGCAGCCUGUUUCCAUUCAUACUUGUAAAUGAUCAAUGCACUUCAACUGAGGUUUACAAGCCCUAUAGUUUUAUUUAAUACAUAGCAAUUAUAUCUUUUGCUAGCACUUUCUGUCCAGUGAUUUCAAAAUACUAUGUGAGCAUCACUGAACCAAGCUUAAAAUUCUCUGCCAUACAGGUAUUUUAAUGAGAACUGAGUUUAGAGAACAUGUUUAUAACGGAACUGCAACAGAGUCCAUCUCCUGAGUCCCAGUCCUGAAAUCAUCCCUCUUUUCCUUUUAAAUUCUGUUCCCCCCCCCAACCUCUUUCUUACAGCAACAAGCAGUGCACUCUGCAAAGUCCCUUCAUCCCCACACAGAUAAGUGACUUCCAGUAUGGUUACAUGAGUUCCCAACUCCAGAAGUUAUCAGUCCAGUCCAUGUCAGCAUGAUCUCCUGGUCUCAGCUGUCUGUGUUUGGUUUGUGUCUCUUGGCUCUGCUGUUCUCCUGGUGGUGACUGUCUUCAGAGGGUGCUUGGCCCUUUGUAUUUGUCCCAGAUUCCUCUGGAAAUUUCUGACCCUCAGAGAGCACCUGCCUGAUAGUCAUAUUAAUGCGGGAAGACUGCAAGUACUUGGCACAGACCUGCCAAUCCUCCUCAGAGCUGUGCUCAAUGACUGAACCAACAAGGAGGUGUGAAGAAAGUGCUUGGUCCAGGCAUGAAGGCAAAGCUGUCCCUUCAGGGUUGGGGAGGAUCCGGGGCACAGCAUGGUACAGCAGGCGGCUGAAGCCAGACAUCACCAUGAUGUCUCCACUGUGCAUGAACAUCGCUGUUGGGGCCUCCUCCCGCUUCAGGCCCCCGAGCAAAAAUAUGGACGAUUGCCCAAAACUAGAGAUGGUGAGAGGACAGAGAGUGAAGAGAAAAACUGAGGUAGUGAACAAUUACGUGUACAACAGGAAAAUACUAGCAGCUGAAUUUCUUUUAAAAAGCUAGAUGAACCCCUGGUUACAACUUUACCAUAAGAGCAUGCAAAACAGACUAACAGGCCUGGUUUAAGUCAGGCCUAGCAUGAGCAGGUUCCCUGCCAGGUUUGCAGCUCUGCUGAGGUUUUUCAUCCUUGCCAGUUAAUGCCCAGUAGCCACUCUACUUCUUUUAGAACGGGACUAUACCUCUGCAAAGUGCUUUUCCAUUGAAGUGCCACAUCCACUGCUAUUCAGUCUUCAGAUAAACCUAUGGCCCUGAGUUACAGCUUCCUACUAUACAAGGUCUUCAGAGAGUGAAGAUUAUACAUCUGGUUUGCAAACCAAGUCAUAUCAACUUCCUAUAACCAUAUGCAACCACACAAAAAAACACCACCAAACCCAUCACAACACUCAAGUGCUUUCCCUGACUCACCUGAAUGAUAAAAGGGGUUGAGAAUGGUCUAAUUCAGACUCAUCUACGUGAAUUCCCAGUGAAGAAUCAAAGUGAUAGUAGUUCAAGAUCCCAGCUUGGGCUUGAAAACCCCGGAACCCACAUGCUGCAGCCACUUGUUCUGACAAGAAUGCGAGGUCUAAGGGGAAAGGAGUGUGGUGAUUUGCUGAGUACUUCUGGAGGAAGGAGAGGGGAAAAAAAGCCGGAAUAUCAGAACAGCAAAUACCACUGGAAACACACUGAACGAGAACUCAAAAGUUUGGCUGAUGGUCAUGGAGAAGGAUAUAUUUGCUUGGAGAAUGAUUACGCCACAGGCAGAACCACAGCAAGUUUUCCUUAUAUCAUUUAAUUCUGGGCCUAUCCUGAGACUGCCAGAGAGUUAAUCACACCUAGUUAAUAAUGAUAGUUGGAUGUUAUUCAUGCAAUUAAUCAUUACAGCUGGAUGGCAAACCUGAAGUCACUAAGAUUAGGACCAACAUUCUGAUAGAGUCUACCACAAACCUGUCAGACAGGACCCACUUUGUCACUACUUCAAGCUGCCAAUGUAGAGUUCUGUAUCUCAUCAGCAGAGCUCUGAACUACACAUCUUUGUUCCUUCUUUGAAGGAUGAGACAAACAGGAAUUAAUUGCAAACCUACUUUACUCUCUCCAUGGAGUGAUUUUGACUGAGUGGAAGGGAGCAACCAAGUUUUUAUUAUGGCCAUCCAGUGACAGGCUGACCCUAUUAAGAUAAGGCUGAAAGCUAAUUUGGUUAAGUAUCUGCAACAUACUGAUAGACUGCAUACUCACUCUGCCCUCUUCUCUCAGCCUCCAUCUGACUCAGUCUGAUGAAAAAGUCCAUUUUGGUCUCCACAAUGUUCUGGAGCUCCAAAAUAGUUAUUAGUUGGUGAGACUGUGCUACACCAGUUCAGGUGCUAAGUUCAAAGUCACAGCAGCAGCAGUCUCUUCCUGCUCUCUCUCACCCCUCCAACAAGAAGCAGUAUUUCUCAGAAGUAGUUGUCUUCAAAUACUCAGGGUCAUCCCCACCCUAAGUAGUUAACGAUGCUUUUGAGACCAUCCCUUUUGGUAAGGUAAAAAUGCGCAGUCACCUUGAAAUGGAGUCAUGGGUCUAGAACAAAGUAUAGACUACCAUUUACCUUUCAAAGGAAAGAACACAACAAUGGACUUCCGCUGUUAAAUCCUCCAACAUAAACUCAUACAGAUUAAAACAUUCUUACAAGCA